rnacentral:rRNA from 1 species
UACGUAGGGGGCAAGCGUUGUCCGGAGUUACUGGGCGUAAAGCGCACGCAGGCGGUCGCGUCAGUUCGGGGUGACAGUGGGCGGCUUAACUGCCCAAGGACCUGGAACACUGCGCGACUUGAGGGUCACAGAGGGACACAGAAUUCCGGGUGGAGUGGUGAAAUGCGUAGAUAUCCGGAGGAAUACCAAUGGCGAAGGCAGUGUCCUGGGUGAUCACUGACGCUCAGGUGCGAAAGCGAGGGGAGCGAACGGG